rnacentral:sRNA from 1 species
GCUGGGUGUGGUAGCACAUGCCUGUAAUCCCAUCGGCUAGGGAGGCUGAGACAGGAGGAUCGUGAGUUCAAAGCCAGCCUCUGCAAAAGCAAGGUGUUAAGCAACUCAGUGAGACCCUGUCUCUA